CCACAAACACUUCUUCCUCUGGUGCCUUAAUCAAAGAGAAAGGAUAUAAAAUCCUUCACAAAAACGUUACUGUUGCUCCACAGAAGAAAUCUUCUCCAACUGGAACACUUGUGAAGAACAAUGAUAAUGGAACAACAACUUCAACAUCAACAACCAUCCUCUUUGAUUCACAGGGAAAAGUUACUGUUCAAAGCAAGUGGAAAGGCUGGAUGGUUGUGGCUAGCUUUGUUAUAGGAGGUCCUAGUUCAGGUGCUCUUGUUGUUUAUCUUCUCAAAUUAUUUUGUUCUGCCGCUGCUAAUAAAAGUGAAGAAGACACAGAUGUUGCUGAAGCUUCUCCCCCAACAAUCCCAAACUUUUCUUUAACCUGCUGUAAUUCAAUUUCGAUUAGAAUUGAUUGUGGAGCUAAAGAUCCACCCAAGACCUAACCGUAGAAAUUUCUACUGGUUAUGACCUCUUUAACCAAAUUGGAUUUUUCUAUUUGUUGUAAUUUUUAAUCUUUUAUUCUUUUUUUCAAUUGUAUAAAUCCUACUUAACGAAGCUUUCAAUUGUGCAAAGGGAACUGUUACCAGUGUGAUUUCUUUUUAUUCGUUAAAUUGACGAUCAAAAUCUCCAAAUCUCUUUAACCAAAUUGGGUUUUGUUUAGAAGGUUCUUCCAGUGUGUAUUUGCUGUCCUGCUUCCAGCAUUAUAAGAAAUUGCUUGCUGAGAUCUUCCCUUAAUCUCGUGAGGGUUCCUCCAAAUGAAAGAAAAUUUGUGGCCUAUUUCCCAUUCCAAAAGAAGUAUAUAUAUUGAAGUUUAUUUGUAUCAUUAAUCUUUUAAGAACAUCUGAUAUGAAACAACUUGAAGUGAAUUCGAUUCACUGCUCUUUAUUGCACAUUGUCAAACAUCUUGAACAAAGGAUCUACAAAGAAUUUCGAAAUGAGCACGUUAAAGUUUUGUAUAUUACUAUGGAGGCCUAUAAACAUAUUGUUGCGCAUAUGCAAGGGGCAAAUGUAAGUGUUCAGUAAUUUCUAGUACCUGUCAAACAUUCCAUUUAAUUCUUGGCCAUUUAAACGAUUUGGAAAUCAGUGAAUUGUUUUACUAUUGUGGGAAACCAAGUGUAAGUGCAUUUGACAUCUAUGGUAUGUUAUCUGAUCCUCCCAUCUCAUGAAUGUUAUUACUUCUUUAGGGUUUAUUUUGCUGACAAUAUAUUGGAUGUUGUUUCUGAACUUCUGGACAGACUCUGUUCGGUUUCUUGGAGGCCAUACGUUAACCACAUUCAUCUAUAGUCAGGUGAGUUUAAUUAUGACUUCCAUGUUUUCCUUGCUUACUUUGUGGAAAACUCAGGUAUUUGUAUCGAAUAUUCAUGCCUUUAUGUGGUAAAGAAAUGUUUCUUACUUGUGGUCUUCUUUAUAGUAAUCUUUUCUUCCUUUUUUUGGAGAUUUGUCAACAACUUAUUUUAGCUGCUAUCAUUCGCCAUCAAGACCAAAAAAAUGUCGCAUAUGAUCCCCCAAACUAAAUUUUAUAUGAUUAAGAUCGCAUCAGCCUUGGCUCAGCAGUUAAGAGCACCAGCUCCUGACAUUGGAAUAGUCAAUGAUAUUUAUAGGCAUUUGAAGAAGAGUCUUCAAGUUUCUGUUGAGUUUUGUCGGACAACAAAAGCCAAACACUAGUACUUCGCUUCAGAAAACUAUAGAAGAUUGUUUACUAGAAAUUGCUAGAGGAAUUGUUGAUGCUCCUCGACGGCGAUUACAUUGGAGGAUCUUCCACCAAUGAGAGUUAUUUUCAUUCACAAAAGGUCUAUUCAGUCUCCAACUUUUUCUUUUUAGAGAUUUGGGGUUUGACCCCCUUUGUGCAAAUUUUUCCCGAAACUUCUUUUUCCAACUUCUGAGAACCUUGAUGCAUCAUGAUGCUGAAGCAUGUAUUGGUGACACCAAAUUUUUUCGGCUAUUCUAAUACCAUCAUUCAGAUCUGAACUCUCUAUGUUGCAUUGGGGUCUCUAUCUGAAGCAAAGAGGUGGCAAUGCAAAACUUAGCGACUGCUCUGCUCGAAAAACUCCACAAAGAAAAGGACGGUGAAAAGGUAGAUAAGCAGCCUUGAUGCUUUCAGGGGAAGUGAAACCAUUGAAGAGGAAUGGAAGCAAGGUUGGAUUCGUAAAAUAUUGCCCAACCUUUCCAAAUUAAAUUCUUCAAUAAUUGAGAAAACAAGUGGGUCGAACGUUUCCCUAGAGGCAGAACUAAAUACUAUUCAAUUAAGUGAAGAUCAAACAAUUCAUUUGAUUUCUGCCUUUUGAAUGCAAGCCAGUCUUUCAGAUAAUUUGCCUUCCAAUUUUGAAGCUAUAGCCCAUUCUUUCAGCUUAACAGUUACUUCUUCCCGCCCUAAGCUUCCACUUUCUCUGAAUAAAAUAUCUCUGGAUCUUAAUUACGUUACCUCCUUCGUGAAUCCUACCUACGGUCUCUUUUUAUAUUAGCAACAUCCUGCAAAUGUUUGCAGCAAAGAUAUAUCAGAUACCCAACCUAAAUGACUUUCAUUCUUCAGUGGCAUGUAUCAGUAUUUAAUAUUCCUACGCAAUUAGGAUGAUUGAUAUCUGAGAAUUGGUGAUGACCUACAACUGUGCGUAAAACCUCAAGCAGACUUCAAAGAGUUUAGAUCCGCAACAGAUGAUGAAGCUGCAUCAUGCGAACUAGUUAGGCUAGGGGAAGCCCUACAUUUUAGUGGAGAACCAAUGUUGUCAUUGACCAAGUCAAUUCUCGAUUUGACCACCUUCAAAUGGCAUCCCUUGCCAAGGAAUCACUUUCAUUUAUUGAGGUAUGCUAUACGAUCGCUGUUGGAUUUUUUGACCUAUUAGAAAUCAUUAAUACUAUUAAAAGGAUUUAUGAGUUCUCUAUUAUUGAGGAAACGAACAGAACUUCAAGCAAAUUCUUUCGUGGACGAUGAUGCAGCUACUGAAUCGUCAGUGCAUAAUUAUUUCAACAUUAUGCCUAGAACGCCUAAUAACUCGUCCUUGCCUCAUAUAAUCAUAAGUGUUGGGCAGUUAGUCGAGUCGGUAUGAUCUAAUAUGCUGAUCUACAUGCACCUAUUACAUGCUUGCAUUGAACGCCUAAUUAUGCUUGCAUUGAAUGCCAUGAAGAAGAAAAAGAAAAAGAAGAAUAAAUGGGAGCAAAACCAUUUUUUCUUAAAUUCAUAACAAAAAUAGAUGGGUACGAAGAAAAAGGUGAUCAACAUUUAAAGAACAUAAUGUUGAAGGUUCAAUAACUUUUAGCGAUGAUGAUUUGGGUUUUUUUUUUAAUGAUCCAAAUUUUUGUGGAGGAGAAUCCCUAAAUGAAGACUUCAUGAAAGAAAAUGAAGAAUCACACGAGAUCGAAAUUAAUAAUGGAUCAAACAUGCAUGUAUUGUGUUAAAAAACUCAAAUACCCAUUUUGUGUGCGUUUGUACGCGUUUGUAAACAAAAAUAUUCGACUUUUGCUUGCAUUAAAUGCCAUGAACUUCCCAGAAUCGGUAGGUAAUAUAUCUACCGAUUAUAA